CAAUAGCGUAUAUUAAAGUUGUUGCAGUUAAAAAGCUCGUAGUCGGAUUUUGGCAUCACGCCGAACUGUCUGCCGAUUGGUAAGUACGGUUUGGCGGGUGCUUCCUUCCGGAGGCUCGUUCCCUUCUUCAUUGAAGGGUUCGUUGGUUCCGGGUCUUUUACUUUGAGAAAAUUAGAGUGUUCAAAGCAGGCCUAUGCUCUGAAUAGGUUAGCAUGGAAUAAUAGAAUAGGACUUUGGUUCUAUUUUGUUGGUUUCUAGGACCGAAGUAAUGAUUAAUAGGGACAGUUGGGGGCAUUCAUAUUCCAUUGUCAGAGGUGAAAUUCAUGGAUCGGUAAAAGACUAACAACUGCGAAAGCAUUUAUCUAGGAUUUGCUCUUUGAUCAAGAACGAAAGUUGGGGGAUCGAAGACGAUUAGAUACCGU
rnacentral:rRNA from 1 species